UGGCAGCCAAUUAAGCCGACCAUGCUCUCCUCUCCAUGGGAGCCAGGUGUGCAACAGCUGCAAACAGCAGCCUCCUCGGCAGCAUGUGCAGCCUGCUGCCUGUAUAGGUUGCCCUAGGGACAACC
ensembl:snoRNA SNORA70 Small nucleolar RNA SNORA70